AUUGAACGCUAGCGGCAUGCCUUACACAUGCAAGUCGAACGGCAGCACGGGGCAACCUGGUGGCGAGUGGCGAACGGGUGAGUAAUGUAUCGGAACGUGCCCAGUAGCGGGGGAUAACUACGCGAAAGCGUAGCUAAUACCGCAUACGCCCUACGGGGGAAAGGGGGGGAUCGCAAGACCUCUCACUAUUGGAGCGGCCGAUAUCGGAUUAGCUAGUUGGUGAGGUAAAGGCUCACCAAGGCUUCGAUCCGUAGCUGGUUUGAGAGGACGACCAGCCACACUGGGACUGAGACACGGCCCAGACUCCUACGGGAGGCAGCAGUGGGGAAUUUUGGACAAUGGGGGCAACCCUGAUCCAGCAAUGCCGCGUGUGCGAAGAAGGCCUUCGGUUUGUAAAGCACUUUUGGCAGGAACGAAACGGUGCCGGAUAAUACCUGGCGCCACUGACGGUACCUGCAGAAUAAGCACCGGCUAACUACGUGCCAGCAGCCGCAGUAACAC
rnacentral:rRNA from 1 species